CCGCAAUCACUUAGUUACCAACCCAAUACAAUCUGUACAUUUAUCAUUCUUAUUUUUGUAGACAAAUAAAAUACAACAAUCUUUAGAAGUGAGGGAGUCGUUAGGAGAAUUGCUGUUUGAGACAAUCGUUAAAAAACCAUUAAAACCAAUGAAAUUUAACAUAAUCGUCAAUACGUAAAUACGGCGUGAAACUGUAAAAUUGGGAAAAUUGGUUGACCAACGUUCGUUCACGAUCAAACGAAAUUCCGUGAAGAGAAUUCCUGAAGUGCCUGGUGGAAACUGUAAUUGGGAUAAAGAGUUCGGUACAGCGCGUCCGAAAUCAAUUGACCGUUCAACAUCACUUCGCCUAUUCCAAGAACGACUUAUAGUUAAGACGAAGUGGGGGAAACUCCUUAACCUGCGAAGCUUAGUUUCGAACCACCGAAUGAUAUGGUAGCAUUUGUUCUUUUAUGGCUUCGAACGGACAACUGAUACUACAUGUAACGCAACUAAAAAGAUUUUAGUUGGUUGAAGCUACGUAAAGGGAAUUUCACAACGAAGAAUCGUGUCAACUGUGAAUCGAUUAAAUCGAGGAAAGUUCAAGUAUUUAAAAAGAAAGGAAAAAUGAAAAUAGAAAUAAGGGGGCGGAGUUGCCAAAAAAUUUCAAAUGAAAAAUUGGUGUGAAAUUUUGCAAGGGGAAAGUUUGAAGUCGACCGAUCCUUCAAAGUAAAAGGUGACGUUCGUUGCUUAAGAAAAGGAAUUACUCCCGGAAUAUGAAACGUUUUGGCUGGGAACACGGUUUAGAAUGGAACGAUGCGGAUUGUUGACAAUCGAAGAAAAAAAAAGACAGGAAGAAGCAAGUAACUUUGACGCAAACAACUUUUUACUGAAAUAUCAAGGCGAAGAAGUAGUUCAAGAUGAAAGCAAAUGGAACACCGCGGCCCCGUGGUUUCAUAUGAAACUUCUCAAGCGUCCAACUUUCAUCUGAUCGAUGCAAAAAAAAGAAAGAAGAAAUAUAUCGUUUGAACGACCCGAAUCAUUAACUUGAAACGAGAUCUCCUAUCGUUUGUGUAAGUAGGAGCGCGUUUACGAGAAUAUUGCAAGCUAAGAUAGUCGAUCUGACGACUGCAUGUUCUUCGAAAAGUACAUUCGAUGCCUACAAAAAACAUUUGUACACCACUUUAUUUAUUGCGGUAUUUUAUAUGCUAAUUAAUUAGCUCCAAACAUAUUACAUUUACACGAAAUGUAGGAUUUGUUAACACAUUGUUGGCCGUCAAUUUUACUGAGAAUUUAUCUCACGUCAUCGGCUAUUAUUUCCUAAUUGAACGUGCAAUUUCUGAGUUUUCCUUUUGAACAGCAUACUCUACACGCUCUAGUCUGAUUUGUUUUUCUGCCAGUGACUAUUUUUUAGUAAAGGAAUCAGUGAAGGAUGCAUCAUUAUAAUAAGGAGCUGUUUUAGAAAUUCGAGAAAUGUCAGGUGCAAUGCUGCAUUCUUUGGAAUCCACAGUUUUCCAUUUUCUAACUACUUCUCCAGUAGAAAUUUGUUGUAUCUUGUUUUAUUUUCUGGCAGAUAGAUACAGUACAUUUUACAUGCAUCGAACAAGGUGCAGUUUAUCAGAAAAAAUGCUAAUUUUCUGGACCACUUUAAAGUUUUUCGUAAAAUACUGCAGGUCUAAAGUGUUUAGUAAAAUACUGAUACUACAGUAUCAUUUUCCAAGUCACCACAAUUUGAUUCACAAUCACUCGGACAAUCAGAUAAAACAUCCGCGUAUAAUUCAUUGAAAUAUUCUUCAUUGGUAUGUCCCGUCAUCGUUGACAUUUUUUUACAACAAAGAACGCAACUUGACUUGACA